CUCAAAUAUUCCAUAUUUAGCACAAAUUUAAUAUAAUUAAAUACUUUUAAUUUUAAGAAAACUCUAAAAUAUCAAUAUCUUCUAUCUCUCUCGUCUUCGCUUUGUUCUCGUUGCCGAAGACCAUCUCCGACGUUCGUUGUCACUGGAGUCUCCAUUUCUUCCAUCUCCACGGAUCCAAGAUUCCAGUGGCUGCCGAGAUGUGUAUUUACAAUCAAAAUCUACAUCAAAAACAUCUUCAUUCACCAGAUUCUGAUCAACAACCAGAGUUUAUUUAAGCUAAUCAGUCUACGAUAGUGUGUGGCGGCGGAGAGUCCUCCGGUGACAACAAUAGCGGAUGACUGGGAGAAAGUAUAGCUAGGUUUUUAGGAGGUGUUGCUUUACUCAAAGGAAUAAAUGGAUUUUAUACAGAUGCAACUAAAAAGAGGCCAAGAAUUUAAUAGAUGCGGUUGGGGAUUUCAAAGAAGAAAGAAACAGUGUAUGGAAGUUGAGUAUGUUGUUCCAAAAAAGAAACAUAGAGUUGAUGAUGAACAAGAUGUUCCAUGGCAGAGCACUUAACAUGUUUAAAUCAACCUGAAUUUAAGCAAGAACUCUUUAAGAUGUAAUUUUUUUUAACUAUUAUUUUAUAAAGACCAUCAUGAAUUUCAAGAAGUCAUUCCUAGAUAUUAUUGAACUCUUCAUAAAUUUUAAAUUUAUGUGUUUCUGA